GACGAACGCUGGCGGCGUGCUUAACACAUGCAAGUCGAACGGACAGGCCCUGCUUUUGUGGGGUGCUCGAGUGGCGAACGGGUGAGUAACACGUGAGUAACCUGCCCUUGACUUUGGGAUAACUUCAGGAAACUGGGGCUCAUACCGGAUAGGAGCUCCUGCUGCAUGGUGGGGGUUGGAAAGUUUCGGCGGUUGGGGAUGGUCUCGCGGGUUAUCCGCUUGUUGGUGGGGUAGUGGCUUACCAAGGCUUUGAAGGGUAGCCGGCCUGGGAGGGUGACCGGCGACAUUGGUCCUGAGAUACGGCCCAGACUCCUACGGGAGGCAGCAGUGGGGAAUAUUGCAGAACAGGCGGAAGCGUGAGGCAGCAGCGCCGCGUGCGGGAUGACGGCUUUCGGGUUGUAAACCGCUUUCGCCGGUGACGAAGCGUGAGUGACGGUAAUGGGUAAGGAAGCACCGGCUAACUACGUG
rnacentral:rRNA from 1 species